rnacentral:rRNA from 1 species
UACGGAGGAUGCAAGCGUUAUCCGGAAUGAUUGGGCGUAAAGCGUCCGCAGGUGGCUGUGUAAGUCUGCUGUUAAAGAGUGAGGCUCAACCUCAUAAAAGCAGUGGAAACUACACGGCUAGAGUGCGUUCGGGGCAGAGGGAAUUCCUGGUGUAGCGGUGAAAUGCGUAGAUAUCAGGAAGAACACCGGUGGCGAAAGCGCUCUGCUAGGCCGCAACUGACACUGAGGGACGAAAGCUAGGGGAGCGAACAGG